AUCCUAUUUUUUGUUUAAUGGUAAACUAUGUAAAGUACAAAAUAUUCCAUGAAACAGGUACAUUUAAGAGAUAUUAUUAAAGAGUUACAUAUAUUGUCUAUCUUUACCUAUUACACUAAUCUACUGUAUACACUAGUUGUAUAUCAAAAGGCAUCUGCCGAAGGAGUACAUGUAAAUAUGUCUAAUUUACAGUUUCAAAUUUGCAAAUUUUGCUUAUUAAGAUAAUGAUACUUGUAUAUUGCAAACCACACACAAAUUUGUGUUAACUUCCACAAACACAGUCCACUGGAAUUAAUGCAGAAAUCAAAUUAUGCAGCUACCAUGGAGUCCUAAAGAUCAAUGUACCAGAAACCAGAAACCUAUCUCAGAUCACCAGUAACAGCAGGGCCAACCAUCAUUCCGAAUGUAAUUUAGAAUGUCUUGUAAAUUUAAGCUAAUUUCCUCCAUUUAGAAUUCAAAAUUUCAAAUGAGGUGGCAAACUUGUCAUUUUAAUUUAGGGAAGUUUAAAGUUGUGGUAAGCAGUUUUAGUUUAAAUUAGGAAAAAACAUAUGAUACCACCUACAGAAAUUUAUAUUUCAUUUGAUGUAUUUCAUGUCAUGAACUACACACCUUUUCAAAUAUAAGGUAUAUAAUCAGUCGAUUCAAACUUGUAUGUAAGCAUCUCUUAUAAUGAAAUAAGAAAACAUUGUAUAGAUGUGGUGGAAGUUUAGAAAUGUGUCUAAUAGAAAAAUAUAUUCCUGAAUUUAGUCCAACAGGGUUAUUUUCCAAAAGAAAAAAUGUAUUCGUUUAGGAAUUCUUCAUUAUGACUCCAUUACAGGCUGGAACAGCAGUAGCAGAACAAAAUCAGUUACAUAAAUUGACUGUUUAGUUGAUUAAUUGUUUGAUUAAUUAUACAAAAACACAAUGUUACUGGUGAACUGAGGUGUCAUGUAACAAACUUGACCGAGAGGCAGAUGAGAUUCAAUUUCCGUUUCCAAACUCCAUUUCCUCAAUCCAAAUCCUAACUAGGACCAUUUCAGGUUUCAGUGGCCAAGAAAAAGUGAUCCUCAACAUGCAAAUGACAUGAGCACACUUGCGUUUUCAGGGAAUCAUGCAUGUCAUCUUUUAAAACUGUGUAGUCAGCAUUAUUAUUAAAAGUAUGCAUUGUGUGAUUAGUAAAGAAACUGCAGCAUCUGUAUCUGAAAUAUCAUAUAUAUAUACACACACACACGCACACACACACACACACACACAAAUAUAUAUAUAUGAUUCAUCUAAAGAUAUUUUAUGUUUGCUUGCUUCUCCUGUUAAAAUCUGUAUUGUACUUUGUCCUGUAAAUAUAUGUAUCAUUUUCUAUUGUUUCUGAAAAACAAAUGAACAAACGAACAAACUCUGUAGUCAUAAAUAGAGUAAAUGCUUUGUCUUUGGAUUUGAGCCUAUGAUACAAGCAGAAGAAUAUCAUAUAAUCAAUAGUGAAUACCAUUCAGAGCUGUAACGCACGCAGAAAGAGAAGUGUUAGAAAAGUGUGUAAUCACAAGCAUGCUUACAUAUCUAACCUCUGGCGAAAAAAAAAGGAUUUGGUAUUGAACAUAUGAUAUGCUUGUCUACUGACUACAAAGAUUACAACGGUAUUCGUUUCUCUGUUAUAUUCUUCAAAAAACUGUGUCUCUAUACUUUAAUUUACAGAGUAGUCUGUAAAAACUCGCAAAUCUUAUCACAGAACAACAAUGACCUCUUUUCACAUAAACCAUCGCAAUAUUGAUUACGGCAUACACAAUAUUAUGCUGAUUAUGUAUAACAACAACUGCUCAAAAGCAUAUAGCAUUAACAUCUUUGAAAGGAAAGACGUCAUCUCAAGCAAAUUCAGCAUCUAUAGGAAAGAACCGAGAAAAAGAGGAAGAAGAGGAAAUAGCAUAGGAAGAACAAUUUUUUUGUUUGUUUGUUUAGUUUUGUUCACAUACACAAAUAUCCAAUAAAAUGCAUACUGAAAAGGCAGACAUUUUCAAUAGGGCAUUUAAAAUAUGCGACUUAUAAAAUUCUAAAGGCAGGUUUGAAAAAUAUGAAAUGAAAUUAAAACAUAUGCAAACAUUUUUUUUAAUUUAUUUAUUAAUUUUAACAGGGGCACUUUGGACACAAUAUAACACUGUAUAUUGUAGUAUAAAAUAAGCUUCAUUUUGGUGAUUUCAGGGGUUAAAACACAAUAAAACACCCUUACUUAUUAGUGGUCCUUCAAUGGUACAAGUCAAAGUCUUUUUGUGACAUUUCAGAUCUAUUUUGUAAUUAUUAUUGCUGGUAGUCCUCAUGCUUGCCUCAUAGAGGGAUCUGUCGACAGUUGAAAAACUAUGUUUGUGUGUGUGCGUGCGUGUGUGUGUGUGUGUGUGUGUUUUAGGCAGUGAAUAUUGUUUU